CGGCUGAUUGCAGCACGCAGGCCUGUUUUCAAGUGUUGUUUUUGCAUGUAAUUACAGACGCAAGUGUCGAAGUCCCGACAUGAACGCUCAUCAACGGAGCUGCUGUUGUUUCUCAGCAUCACAGCUGUUUACUGCUGAGUCACAGGCUGAUGUCAUCGUACCGUCUGACUGACAAAACUACAGAUCUGCACAGUGGCAAGUCACCUCUGAAGGCCUUGAAUGAUGGGAAACUGUCUGUCUGUACGUAAUAUGGGCUGAUGUAAGGCAUCACUAGAAUCAUGUCAAUCCUGAUUUCUACAAUAUAAGUUUACAUCAUUCGACUGUUAACAAUUUCAAGACGUACAUUUGAGAGCAGAUACAACACAAGCAAGGAUCUAGCCAGGAGAAAACAACCUGGAUAAGAGCCACAAAACAAGUUCAAAGGACCGUGGUGCCUACAGGUGGAAGCUGAAUUAGUGAGGAUGACUCCUGCUCC
ensembl:lncRNA